rnacentral:rRNA from 1 species
AUUGAACGCUGGCGGCAGGCUUAACACAUGCAAGUCGAACGGUAACAGGAAGAAAGCUUGCUUUCUUUGCUGACGAGUGGCGGACGGGUGAGUAAUGCUUGGGAAUCUGCCUUAUGGAGGGGGAUAACUACGGGAAACUGUAGCUAAUACCGCGUAAUAUCUUCGGAUUAAAGUGUGGGACCUUCGGGCCACAUGCCAUAAGAUGAGCCCAAGUGAGAUUAGGUAGUUGGUGAGGUAAAGGCUCACCAAGCUGACGAUCUCUAGCUGGUUUGAGAGGAUGAUCAGCCACACUGGAACUGAGACACGGUCCAGACUCCUACGGGAGGCAGCAGUGGGGAAUAUUGCACAAUGGGCGCAAGCCUGAUGCAGCCAUGCCGCGUGAAUGAAGAAGGCUUUCGGGUUGUAAAGUUCUUUCAGCGAUGAGGAAGGUGCAUUAUCUAAUAGGUGAUGUAAUUGACGUUAGUCGCAGAAGAAGCACCGGCUAACUCCGUGCCAGCAGCCGCGGUAAUACGGAGGGUGCGAGCGUUAAUCGGAAUAACUGGGCGUAAAGGGCACGCAGGCGGUUGUCUAAGUCAGAUGUGAAAGCCCCGAGCUUAACUUGGGAAUUGCAUUUGAGACUGGGCGACUAGAGUCCUCUAGGGAGGGGUAGAAUUCCACGUGUAGCGGUGAAAUGCGUAGAGAUGUGGAGGAAUACCGAAGGCGAAGGCAGCCCCUUGGAGAGAGACUGACGCUGAGGUGCGAAAGCGUGGGUAGCAAACAGG